AAUACCCGCUGAACUUAAGCAUAUCAAUAAGCGGAGGAAAGAAACCAACAGGGAUUGCCCUAGUACGGCGAGUGAAGCGGCAACAGCUCAAAUUUGAAAUCUGGUUCCUUCCGGGGCCCGAGUUGUAAUUUGUAGAGGGUGCUUUGGCGUUGGCCAUGGUCUAAGUUCCUUGGAACAGGACGUCACAGAGGGUGAGAAUCCCGUACGUGGCCGUUGGCCUUCGCCAUGUAAAGCCCCUUCGACGAGUCGAGUUGUUUGGGAAUGCAGCUCUAAAUGGGAGGUAAAUUUCUUCUAAAGCUAAAUAUUGGCCAGAGACCGAUAGCGCACAAGUAGAGUGAUCGAAAGAUGAAAAGCACUUUGGAAAGAGAGUCAAAAAGCACGUGAAAUUGUUGAAAGGGAAGCGCUUGCAGCCAGACUUGCCCGUAGUCGCUCAUCUAGGCUUCUGCCUGGUGCACUCUUCUGCGGGCAGGCCAGCAUCAGUUCAGGCGGUCGGAUAAAGGUCUUGGGAAUGUGGCUCUCUUCGGGGAGUGUUAUAGCCCAGGGCGCAAUGCGACCAGCCUGGACUAGGUCCGCGCAUCUGCUAGGAUGCUGGCGUAAUGGCUGUAAGCGGCCCGUCUUGAACCACGGACCA
rnacentral:rRNA from 1 species